rnacentral:rRNA from 1 species
AACGAACGCUGGCGGCAGGCCUCAAACAUGCAAGUCUAGGGGGUGUAGCAAUACAUCACCGGCGGACGGGUGCGUAACGCGUGGGAAUAUACCUAUCGAUUCGGAACAACUGAGGGAAACUUCAGCUAAUACCGAAUACGUCCUAACGGAGAAAGAUUUAUCGUCGAUAGAUUAGCCCGCGUUCGAUUAGCUAGUUGGUGGGGUAACGCCCACCAAGGCGACGAUCGAUAGCUGUUCUGAGAGGAAGAUCAGCCACACUGGGACUGAGACACGGCCCAGACUCCUACGGGAGGCAGCAGUUGGGAAUCUUGGACAAUGGGGGAAACCCUGAUCCAGCCAUGCCGCGUGAGUGAUGAAGGCCUUCGGGUUGGUAAAACUCUUUCGCGCACGACGAUAAUGACGGUAGUGCGAGAAGAAGCUCCGGCUAACUUCGUGCCAGCAGCCGCGGUAAU